rnacentral:rRNA from 1 species
ACUCCUACGGGAGGCAGCAGUAGGGAAUCUUCCACAAUGGGCGCAAGCCUGAUGGAGCAACACCGCGUGAGUGAAGAAGGGUUUCGGUCUCGUAAAGCUCUGUUGUUAAAGAAGAACACGUAUGAGAGUAACUGUUCAUACGUUGACGGUAUUUAACCAGAAAGUCACGGCUAACUACGUGCCAGCAGCCGCGGUAAUACGUAGGUGGCAAGCGUUAUCCGGAUUUAUUGGGCGUAAAGAGAGUGCAGGCGGUUUUCUAAGUCUGAUGUGAAAGCCUUCGGCUUAACCGGAGAAGUGCAUCGGAAACUGGAUAACUUGAGUGUAGAAGAGGGUAGUGGAACUCCAUGUGUAGCGGUGGAAUGCGUAGAUAUAUGGAAGAACACCAGUGGCGAAGGCGGCUACCUGGUCUGCAACUGACGCUGAGACUCGAAAGCAUGGGUAGCGAACAGGAUUAGAUACCCUGGUAGGAUAGCG